UGCAAAAUAAUGUGGCUAUAACGUGG
rnacentral:piRNA from 1 species